UACGGAGGAUCCAAGCGUUAUCCGGAUUUAUUGGGUUUAAAGGGUGCGUAGGCGGAAUUGUAAGUCAGUGGUGAAAGCCCUUCGCUUAACGAAGGAACUGCCAUUGAUACUGCAAAUCUUGAGUACAUUUGAUGAGGGCGGAAUGUGUCAUGUAGCGGUGAAAUGCUUAGAUAUGACACAGAACACCAAUUGCGAAGGCAGCUUACUACGCAGAUAUUGACGCUCAUGCACGAAAGCGUGGGGAUCAAACAGG
rnacentral:rRNA from 1 species